rnacentral:lncRNA from 1 species
UCAAAAGGCAUCCAUACUCAAUUACUCGCGGCCACAUAAAUAAUAUUCGACUAUGUCUGCCUUAUGCCUAGUUUAGAGAUACAUGACUAUCUUUGGCAUCAUUUCUAAGAUCAUACAUGGAAGAACUUCUCCUCGUACCUGUAAUUUUAUCCAAAUUAAUAAUAUUUAGUCGUAACUUGCCUGUAUCACGAGUACUUGAUCGUACUUAAAAUUGUUAAACUAUGAACUUUAUAACUUAAUUAGAAGUUAACUAGAAUUGUCCUAAUGUAGUUCUGGACAUUGGAAUAUAUUCAAACAUAUCAUUUGAAUACACAGAGUUUCAAUUAGGCACAAUAAAAAUAUCAUUUGCAAUACAUAGCUAAUUUUGGCUAGAAUUGGUCGGACUUAGAGUUGAAUUCCUCUCGACAAUAGGUUAUUGAUAUGUGCACUAGAGAUAGUAGGAUUAACUUGAGACCUCAAACUUUGGUAAACGAAGACUAGAUUGAAAAAGUGUUCCAUAACUUUUGGAAUCUUUAGAAAGAUUAACUAUAACUAAGUUAUAAUCAUUUCAAUUUUGAAAGACAUAUGUUUGUCCAUACAAGCUGGACAGCUCCAAAGAAUGGUUUAUAGAGUUUGACUCGUACAUAGUAAUUAUGUUAUACUUUAACAUAUUUGAAAUAUUUGUCCAACGUUAUUCAUAUGAAAAAAGUUUGAAUAGAAUUGGACAUUCAGGCUAGGAGUUAUGGGUUGAUCAUCAAGUAAUGUCCAACCAUUACUUUCAGCUACAAGGCAACACGAUAUUACUUUAGUGUAGAGAGCAUAACUCUCAGAUGGAUAAAUGCAAAAAAAAUAAUCUUGGUCAAUUUAGAAAGUUAAUUGAACAAGGAAAAACUUUGGUAUUUUAAGUUUUUGGGUUAAGGUAUGGACAUCAAGCAAAAUGUGUUUAUAUGGAAUACAAGAUAGAGAGGCUAAACCUAUUAAACGGCAUAUACAUUCAGAUAAGGGCUUUCAAUCAUAAUACAUAAAAUAAUUAACAUAAACAUUGAUAAUUGAGGUCAUACGCACCACUCUAACUCAAUUUGAUGACUUAGAAUUCACACCACCAUAUACACCAUAAAUUCCAGCUUACUUGAAGCACAAGAAUGGAUGGCUGGGGUUCCAAGCCCUAACCACUUAAGCAAUUGAAAUAAAUCAUCCAGAACAGAGUAUUAAACAUGCAUUUCAAAAUUGGAGUUUAAUGGCUCAACAACUAUUCAAUUUGGUGGAGAGAAACUAUGCAAAGCUUAGUUCUAAUACAUAGGACACGUUGAGCUUACUUGGAGCACAAGAUUAGGGGCUGAUUCUUUAUUACUCACAAUCAGUUUGGAAUCCAAAAUUCAACUCAUACAAUAGAGAGGGAUUUUCAAAACACAACUCUAAGACCAACUCAGACAUGCAUGUAAAGGAUUUUUAGUCCUAAGGACUCAUUUAUACACACUACAACACCUAAUCCAUCAUAUUAAGCUCAUUGUCAUGGUAAGAAUGUGGGUUAGGGUUUGAUAACCCUCCAAACUGAAAUUUCAGAGGCCUAACACCUAAAACCGAUGGUGCUUGACAUGCAAAAUGAAUAUGGAAGUUAUCAACGUUAAUCUUGACCAAUUUGGAGGCUUGGAACUCACGUAACCAGGCCACCAUGCCUGGAUCAUUUCUAUUCAUGGAACAUAAUUUGUAUCACCAAAACAGAGGUUUAAAAGAAAGAAUUUCCAAAAUCUAAGGCUAUCAUUGAGAUCUCCAUACCUGAGUUAAGUUAGGAGGGUCGUUUCAUGAAGAAAAAGAAGAGGAAAAUCAACUCCUAGCACUCUUGUAGCUUGUUUUCCAUGACGAGGGAGAAGGAGGAAGAAAGUUAGGUUUUGUUGAAUAAAAAU